UACAGAGGGGGCAAGCGUUAUUCGGAAUUAUUGGGCGUAAAGGGCGCGUAGGCGGCUUUCCAAGUGACGGGUGAAAUCCCUCGGCUUAACCGAGGAACUGCCUGUCAGACUGGAAGGCUUGAGACCGGGAGAGGUGAGUGGAAUUCCCAGUGUAGCGGUGAAAUGCGUAGAUAUUGGGAGGAACACCAGUGGCGAAGGCGGCUCACUGGACCGGAACUGACGCUGAGGCGCGAAAGCGUGGGGAGCAAACAGG
rnacentral:rRNA from 1 species